UACAGAGGUCUCAAGCGUUGUUCGGAUUCAUUGGGCGUAAAGGGUGCGUAGGCGGCGCGGUAAGUCGGGUGUGAAAUCUCGGAGCUUAACUCCGAAACUGCAUUCGAUACUGCCGUGCUUGAGGACUGGAGAGGAGACUGGGAAUUUACGGUGUAGCGGUGAAAUGCGUAGAUAUCGUAAGGAAGACCGUGGCGAAGGCGGGGUCUCUGGACAGUUCCUGACG
rnacentral:rRNA from 1 species